AUCCCUGUAGCACAAUGGUUAGUCCGUUAGACUUCUAAUCCAAAGAUCAUGGGUAUGAAUCCCACUUGGGAUG